rnacentral:sRNA from 1 species
UCGGUGGCACAGCGAGCUUCGUGCUUUGG